rnacentral:rRNA from 1 species
GACGAACGCUGGCGGCGUGCCUAAUACAUGCAAGUCGAACGGUGAAGAGAGGAUCUUGCUCUUCUUGGAUGAGUUGCGGACGGGUGAGUAACGCGUAGGUAACCUGCCUGGUAGCGGGGGAUAAGUAUAGGAAACGAUAUCUAAUACCGCAUAAAAUGGAGUAUCGCAUGAUAAUCCAUAGAAAGGUGCAAAUGCAUCACUACCAGAUGGACCUGCGUUGUAUUAGCUAGUUGGGGGGGUAACGGCCAACCAAGGCGACGAUCCAAAGCUGGCCGGAGAGGAUGGUGACCCACACUGGACCUGGGCCACGCUCCGGCCUCCUAGGGGGGCAGCCGGAGGGGAACUUUGGCAAUGGAGCGAAGGCUUACCGCGGAACGCCGGCGGAGGGGAGAAGGGUCUCGGGUCGGAAAAGUCCGUUGUAAGGGAAGAACGAGUGGGAGGGUGGAAAGUUCACGCUGUGACGGUACCUUAACAGAAAGCGACGGCUAACUACGUG